CUACGGAGGGUGCAAGCGUUAUUCGGAAUCACUGGGCGUAAAGGACGCGUAGGCGGGUUGGCAAGUCAGAUGUGGAAUCCUACAGCUUAACUGUAGAACUGCAUUUGAAACUGCUAACCUAGAGUAUGGGAGGGGGAGAUGGAAUUAGUGGUGUAGGGGUAAAAUCCGUAGAUAUCACUAGGAAUACCGAAAGCGAAGGCGAUCUCCUGGAACAUAACUGACGCUAAGGCGUGAAAGCGUGGAGAGCAAACAGGAUUAGAAACCCUAGUAGUCC
rnacentral:rRNA from 1 species